rnacentral:rRNA from 1 species
GACGGAACGCUGGCGGCGUGCCUAACACAUGCAAGUCGAGCGGGGGACAUUGGAGCUUCGGUUCUGAUGUUCUAGCGGCGGACGGGUGAGUAAACGCGUGAGCAAUCUGUCCCAUACAGGGGGAUAACAGCUGGAAACAGCUGCUAAUACCGCAUGAGACCACAACGUCACAUGACGAAGGGGGUCAAAGGAGCAAAUCCCGGUAUGGGGGUGAGCUCGCGUCCCAUUAGGUAGUUGGUGAGGUAACGGCCCACCAAGCCGACGAUGGGUAGCCGACCUGAGAGGGUGAUCGGCCACACUGGAACUGAGACAC